rnacentral:lncRNA from 1 species
ACGAUUUAUCUUCGAGUGGUGAAAAUAUUGCACGUGUGCUAGCCUGCAGAGCAGGCGUUCUUGUUCUUUUGAUGGAUUUGAGAGGAAGAAUCGGUGUUUUGGGGUUCCUGUCUCAACCAAAGUUCCCCCAAAACCCCGGUUUUUCCCCCAAACCAAGAACGCCUGCUUUGCAGGCUACACGUGUGCGUGAACGAGUGAUGAUAUUUUUUAACACGAGAAGAUAAACUUCAUAUCUUUAAGCCUAUUAUAUAGACAAAUUCACAAAACUUCUUGAAAACAUUGGAAAAGACGUCAUCGAUAUCUUCACUAGGGAGGAUAUGGAAAAUAUGUCACGGAGUUCCCGGAUGUAGUUCGUAUAUUAAAAAAUAAGAUUGGCGUAUUUCCCAGUAAAACAAUUAUGGUAUUUAAUAAACCUAUAGCUAUGCCAAGAACGUCAGGGUAGAUUUGUUUGCUGGGCGAAAGGUCUUCUUGCUAACUAAAUAGACAAAAUUUAUCGAUCAGUGCUUCUGGCUCCGAGCCGGGGCCGCCUUGAAAACCUCUAGAUAAGUAAUCUACGUCUCAUCUAUAGGGAAUUCACCUUUAUUUGGUGAUUAGGAAAGUGAAAGGAGUGGUAGCAGGCAACAUUUCCUAAUGCAUACUCACUAUCACGUAGCGGAUGAGAUCCGCUCCUGCCCCUCAUCAAGAUAAAGAGAAGAGAUGUUUUACAGGAAAGCAAAAUAAAACAAAGAAAAGAAGUAAAAAGUAUUAAAAAAGAAUUCAUGAAACCAUGGUUACCAUGAUGUAGAAAACUAUCCUCCUCAUUACUGGAUUCUACAACAGAAAUAUGGUUAAAUGGUUCCUCAAAGGAGAAUAAGUACACCUUUUUAGCAUCACUUUUCACUACAACUGUCUUCACCCAAUCUAAAAACUUAUUCA